AAAAACAUGGCCUUUCGUUAAAAAUUUAAGGUCUAACCUGCUCAAUGAAUUUUAAAUAGCCGCAGUAUCUUAACUGUGCAAAGGUAGCAUAAUCAUUAGUUUCUUAAUUAGAAGCUGGAAUGAAAGGUUGAAUGAGAAAAUAGCUGUCUCUAUAAAAAUUUUAUAGAAUUUUAUUUUUAAGUUAAAAAGCUUAAAUAUUAAUAAAAGACGAGAAGACCCUAUAGAGUUUUAUAUUUAAAUAUAAUAUUUCUUUUAGUAUUUUAAAAUUUAUUAUUUUAUAUUAUUUAGUUGGGGUGAUUAGAAAAUUAAAUAAACUUUUCUUUAAUAAAGACAUUUAUUUAUGAAAAAAUGAUCCAGUUUUUAGAUUAUAAGAUAAAAUUACCUUAGGGAUAACAGCGUAAUUUUUUUUGAGAGUUCUUAUCGAAAAGAAAGAUUGCGACCUCGAUGUUGGAUUAAAAUAAAUUUUUGGUGUAGAAGCUAAAUUUAAUUAGGUCUGUUCGACCUUUAAAAUUUUACUUGAUCUGAGUU
rnacentral:rRNA from 1 species